AUUCUUUUAUAGUUCAUGAGCAUGAUGAUUGAGUGUUCAUGCACAUGUGUGAGAUGUGCUUCCCUCAAACUAUGUUAUGACAUAGGCACAUUACCUAUGUGACA